UCUAGGCAUUAUGGGGACCGCUGGAUUAAGGCGACAAAAAUUGGUCUCCUUAAUAUUUUCAGUCCAGAUUUGAUGUAUCAAAUGUCAAUAAAAAUGUCCAUUGACAGUAAGUUGAUAAGCUUGAAUGUUUAUUUACGAGAUCAUUUCAUUGUUUUAAAUCUUAUUAUCUUUUAAUAUUAAAAAAAAUAUUCUUAAACUUUUGUGUGUGUAUAUUUGUGUAUCCAUAAAAAUAGCUAUUAAGGCGACCAGGGAAAAAAUCAUAAUUUUGGUCAAAAAUAGCUAUAUACUAAGCAUUUUUUAUUUGUUUUACUUUAUUUAAAGCCUAUUGUAUAAUAUCCCGAAGUUUCAUUCCAUAAAAUACAGAAAUAAGGAAAUUCGAUAUUUCGUGUACCAUCAACAUCCAAAUUUUCAAGUAUACAGAAAUUUAACUUUCCGGAAUAUAACGGAAAUUUUCGGGUAUCUCCGUGGUACCAUCUCCGUGCAAUUAUGCAGUAUGGCGUUCAUCUCUUACGGAAAGAGAAUGGUAACUUGGUAAGUGUUUAAAAUACAUAUUCAACGUUUUUUCGUUUAUUUUUAUGACUUUUGUACAGUAGUAUAAAUCGUCCACCCUUUGGAUGAAAAGCAAAUGAUUUAUCCGGAUUUUGUUCAUCCGAAACUAAAUCACUAGUAUCAACAUCCGGUGUAAUUUUUGCUUGUAUUUUGGAGAAACUCGAUUGAUUUCUAACAAACUUGGUUUACCACUACAUCGUCGCUUAUUAUUAUUUGUUGCUGCUUGGGACAAUAAAGUUAAGUCAGCAACCGUCUACCAGACUGCAAGAUUCAUCUCUUCCAAAGGAUGUCGUACCUUUCCAGAUACACUGUGUUUUGUGUGGAUAAGAAAUGCAGAGUGGUACCACCAAUCACCUAAGCCACCAUUCCCCUAACAGACAAUAGGCUCAUGGGGACAGUUCCUGCAAUUUACAGAAAAGCUCUCAAUUGUAGCCCUACGAACAUCAGAUACUGCCAAUGGUGAAGCUUGGGUGCACCGGGCCGGUUUUCCAGCCGUGUGGAAUCAACAUCUCCAGCUGAACUGGGGCCGGGAAUUAUAUAAGACUCCUUAGCAGCAUGAGUGCCAGCCAGUCAUUGCUGUUCUUUUCAUUGCUGAGGAGGACAGUCCUGCCAACAUAACAGUUUGUUCAAUAACAGGAGACAAACAGAAACACAGAGGUGCUAUACAUUCUGAUUGAAAAACAAAUGCUUCUCCCAUCAUUUUGGCGUGGCUCAGAUCAAGAGGAGAAUUUUAAGAAAGGUGAUGAUUGGGCACACACAAGAAGACAUAGAUCACAGGUGUCUAGCCAUAUGAGUAGAUAGGAGUGUCACACUCUGCCAAACUUACUUCAUCAGACGAGCAGAAAGCUUCUCAAGAUCCCGCACUGCACACUAAGACAUAGUCUUUGACUACAACAAGGUGAUGAAAGUACAGAGAGGUCCAAUUGAAAUCAAUUCUGUGCUGCGUCAUUUCUUCAUUCUGGAAGUCGAUGGACGUGAUUUAUCAUGGCAUAAAGUGUGCAGUUUGCCGACUAUCAGCAGUCUUGUUCACCAGCUGUGCAACUUGAGCUGGUAGCUUUAUUGCUUGAAGCCACUGCACAAGAGGGGGGAAGGUGCAGGCUCAUCAAAAAGUCUCAAAAGUUGAAACUAGGAAAAGAAGUUUAUCAAGAGUGUGAAUCUAUUUUGAAAACAAUCGUUACAAUGAUUUGGUUUCCUUUGAAACUUGAUACAUACUAUGAAUUGAGAUGCUUAAAUAAAAAACCGCUAUUCAAAUAUCAGGAAACUGCCUUUUUCAUACUAAAGGGUAAAUGAUGUCGCCAUUUCCUGUAUGUAUUUAAAUAAGAUAUGUCUCCACAAUUAAUAUUUUUAGGGAAUUUUUCUCAACCUAAUGAAUGAGAUUAAAUUGUACAGCGUUAUAUGAGCUUAAUAUGUGUUUUCUCAUUCUUUAAAAUUGGUGAAAAAUUGUCAGAAGAUAAUUAGACCAGUAUCCAUUACUGCAAUCAUACAAUCAAAUAUACAGGGACAAGCCCACUGGGCAUAUAAUAUAAUUAAACCCUGUUUAGGGGCACGAGGCAAACAGAGUUACUUUCAAACGUUAAAGCUGCACUCUCACACUUUAGAUGUUUUGACAACCUUUUUCAUUUUAUGUCUUGGAUUGGAACCAUCCAAUUUUUGCGAAAAAUUAAAUCCCAGAUUUUUCUAUUUAAGUUAAAACAUUGAUGUUUUUCAUGCACUUUUCUUAAACCGUUAGUAACAUUAAUUUUCGAACGGAAAUAUGAAAUCUGCGAUCUGAUCUUUUGUCAGCAAUCUUUUAUCAUUGGUUUGCAGAUAAUUACGCAAAAACUUGCUCAUUCCAAGACAAAAAAAGUUGUGGAAACGGUAUAUCUGUGAGAGUGCAGCUCUAAAUGUUUAAUUGCUUGAUUUUACUACUGUAUUAGAAAUUACAGGGAUUGGGGUAUAUUUUUAGUGUUUUUAUUGCUUGUUUUUGAUUCAUACAGUCAUACUUUAUUCUUCAGGGCACAACUUACAAAUAGACAAAACUGGAAAAUGGUCAUAUCAAAAGGUCAAAGAUAAUGCAAGUUGAACAAUCAUAUUGUUCAUGGCUUGUAUUUUUGGUAUAUUUUGUUGCAUAUUCUAUAGAAAAGUUGAAAGUUAAAAAUAAAUUCAUAGUUGAAAUGAUGGCUUUGAAUGGUAUUGUCAGAUGAGAAACGGCACUAUUAAGAAAUAGGUAUAAUGGUACUUUAUUUAUUUUAAUCAAUUUUAGAUAUUAUGAAAAUUAUUAUCUUAUUUAGUACAUGAGACCUUUUAAACAGUUAUUGACAAUAUAACAAUGUGUAUAUGAAGCUUUAGAUCAACACUUAAAGCUGCACUCUUACAGAUUGUCAGUUUAGACACAAAAUUGUCUCAAAAUCGGCUGAUUUGGUUAUCAUUCCUUUAAUUCAGUCAUAUUAGAUAAUUCACGAUAGAACCAAUCAAAAAUGUUUGGUAAAACUGCCGAAAAGUUCAUUUACAUUAAAUUGUUCGUAAUGCUUUUAGUCAUUGUUCGUAAUGCUUUUAGUCAUAAAACAUCAUUUUUUUAAACAUAAAUAUGAUGAACUGCAAUCUGAUCUUUUUUCAGCAGUCUUAUAUCACUUAAAAUUGGGUCUAGACAUUUCUGCAAAAAAUACUCCAUUAAUAGACGAUCAAUAAAAGAGUACCGGUAGUCAAAACGAUCAAUCGGCGAGAUUGCAGCUUUAAAUACACCUUUUAAGACCGCUGUAAAAUUCCAAUGGUUUGCCUAAAUCUUUAAAGCUAGCAUACUGUUUAAUUGACAACCAUACUUAUUGUUUAAAAGUGUCAUGAUAUCU